AUUGAACGCUGGCGUCAGGCCUAACACAUGCAAGUCGAACGAGUGGCGGACGGGUGAGUAAUGUCUGGGAAACUGCCCGAUGGAGGGGGAUAACAACUGGAAACGGUAGCUAAUACCGCAUACCAUCGGAUGUGCCCAGAUGGGAUUAGCUAGUAGGUGGGGUAAUGGCUCACCUAGGCUACGAUCCCUAGGUGGUCUGAGAGGAUGAACAGCAACACUGGAACUGUGACACGGUCCAGACUCCUACGGGAGGCAGCAGUGGGGAAUAUUGCACAAUGGGAGCAAGCCUGAUGCAGCCAUGCCGAGUGUAUGAAGAAGGCCGUCGGGUUGUAAAGUACUUUCAGCGAGGAGGCGUUACUCGAAGAAGAAGCACCGGCUAACUCCGUGCCAGCAGCCGCGGUAAUUC
rnacentral:rRNA from 1 species